UACGAAGGGGGCUAGCGUUGCUCGGAAUCACUGGGCGUAAAGCGCACGUAGGCGGAUUGUUAAGUCAGGGGUGAAAUCCUGGAGCUCAACUCCAGAACUGCCUUUGAUACUGGCGAUCUCGAGUCCGGGAGAGGUGAGUGGAACUCCGAGUGUAGAGGUGAAAUUCGUAGAUAUUCGGAAGAACACCAGUGGCGAAGGCGGCUCACUGGACCGUUGUUGACGCUGAGGUGCGAAGGCGUGGGGAGCAAACAGG
rnacentral:rRNA from 1 species